GACGAACACUGGCGGCAUGCCUAACACAUGCAAGUCGAGCGAGCAGAUCCCUUCGGGGUGAAGCUAGCGGCGGACGGGUGAGUAACACGUGGGCAACCUGCCUCAUAGAGGGGAAUAGCCUUCCGAAAGGAAGAUUAAUACCGCAUAAGAUUGUAGCUUCGCAUGAAGCAGCAAUUAAAGGAGCAAUCCGCUAUGAGAUGGGCCCGCGGCGCAUUAGCUAGUUGGUGGGGUAACGGCUCACCAAGGCGACGAUGCGUAGCCGACCUGAGAGGGUGAUCGGCCACAUUGGGACUGAGACACGGCCCAGACUCCUACGGGAGGCAGCAGUGGGGAAUAUUGCACAAUGGGGGAAACCCUGAUGCAGCAAUGCCGCGUGAGUGAUGACGGCCUUCGGGUUGUAAAGCUCUGUCUUCGGGGACGAUAAUGACGGUACCCGAGGAGGAAGCCACGGCUAACUACGUGCCAGCCGCCGCAGUAA
rnacentral:rRNA from 1 species